UACGAAGGGGCUAGCGUUGCUCGGAAUCACUGGGCGUAAAGCGCACGUAGGCGGAUUGUUAAGUCAGGGGUGAAAUCCUGGAGCUCAACUCCAGAACUGCCUUGAUACUGGCGAUCUCGAGUCCGGGAGAGGUGAGUGGAACUGCGAGUGUAGAGGUGAAAUUCGUAGAUAUUCGCAAGAACACCAGUGGCGAAGGCGGCUCA
rnacentral:rRNA from 1 species